rnacentral:rRNA from 1 species
AAUCAACGCUGGCGGCGUGCUUAACACAUGCAAGUCGAACGCGAAAGCCCCUUCGGGGGCAAGUAGAGUGGCGUCCGGGUGAGUAACACGUGGGUAAUCUACCUCCGGGUGGGGAAUAACUCGCCGAAAGGCGGGCUAAUACCGCAUAAUGCAGCGGCACCGAAUGGUGAUUAGUUGUUAAAGCGGGGGACCUUAGGGCCUCGCGUCUGGAGAGGAGCCUGCGGCAGAUUAGCUUGUUGGUAGGGAAUGGCCUACCAAGGCUGCGAUCUGUAGCUGGUCUGAGAGGACGGCCAGCCACACUGGCACUGACACACGGGCCAGACUCCUACGGGAGGCAGCAGUGGGGAAUUUUGGGCAAUGGGCGAAAGCCUGACCCAGCAACGCCGCGUGAAGGAGGAAAUCCUUCGGGAUGUAAACUUCACAAGCAAGGGAAGAGCGCGCAGGGUCGAAUAAACUCUGCGUCCGACGGUACCUUGCGUAAGCCACGGCUAACUACGUGCCAG